CGGCACGGCUGAGGAUCACGUGGGAACAUGCCUCCCUUGUGGGGGACAACACCGCGAAAGCGGUGCUAAUCCCGCAUACGCUCGGGAACGAGGAAAGCGGCAACGCGCAGGGAGAGUGGCCCGCGGCCCAUCAGGUCGUUGGUGGGGUAAUGGCCUACCAAGCCGGUGACGGGUAGCUGGUCUGUGAGGACAGACAGCCAGACUGGGACUGAGACACGGCCCAG
rnacentral:rRNA from 1 species